rnacentral:rRNA from 1 species
CCUACGGUAGGCUGCAGUGGGGGAUAUUGCACAAUGGGGGACACCCUGAUGCAGCGACGCCGCGUGAGUGAAGAAGUAUUUCGGUAUGUAAAGCUCUAUCAGCAGGGAAGAAAAUGACAGUACCUGACCAAGAAGCACCGGCUAACUACGUGCCAGCAGCCGCGGUAAUACGUAGGGGUCCAGCGUUAUCCUGAUUUACUGGGUGUAAAGGGAGCGUAGACGGUUCUGUGAGUCUGGAGUGAACUCCCGGGUCCCACCCCCGGGACUGAUGUGGAAACUGUGUAACUGGAGUACAGGAGGGGCAGGCGGAAUUCCUGGUGUAGCGGUGAAAUGUGUAGAUAGCAGGAGGAACACCGGCGGCGAAGGCGACCUGCUGGACUGAAACUGACGUUGAGGCUCGAAAGCGUGGGGAGCAAACAGGAUUAGAUACCCCGGUAGUC